GUCAUCACAAGGGUACUUAUAAGGGGAGGAGGAAGGAAGAAGAGUAUCAGAGUGAUUAAAUGUGAUAGUUUUGACCAGCAAUUUCUGGCUUUGAAGAUGGAGGAAGGGACCAGGUACCAAGGAAUGCAUACUGCCUCUAGAAAUUGAAACAGGCAAGGAAAUGGAUUCUUCCCUGGGACCCCCAGAAAAGAAUGCUGCCCUGCUAACACCUUAAUUUUAAUCCAAGGAGACCUGUGUCAGACGUCUGACUUCCUAAACUGUCUCAGCUCUAUGAAAUUGGUUCUACUCUGACUGAGGUUACCAUGGAAGAAAGGACUAUUUGACUUAAGCACAUCUCUAGCUUUGAUGGCAGAGAUGGCACUUCUCUAUCUUUCCCCACUGGGCAAGACACAACUUCUCAACUGAACAGAAUAGAGCAAAUCCAUGAAUUUGAAGAGUGCACUGAAGAAUUCUGAUGUAAAGGCAUUGUUACUGCAUCUCUGGUGAAUAUCUGUUUUCUGGGUGACUGUGAACAGUACUCAUUUACAUAACAAAGGAAAUGUCUACACUGUGAAAGGCACUUUGGGGGCAGAGCAGUGAAACAAAAAUAAAAUAAAAUUUAAAAAAUAAAUAAAUAAAAAUAAAAUUAAAAAAA
ensembl:lncRNA